rnacentral:rRNA from 1 species
UACGAAGGACCCGAGCGUUAUCCGGAUUUAUUGGGUUUAAAGGGUGCGUAGGCGUCCCUAUAAGUUACGGUUGAAAUCUCCUCGCUCAACGAGGAAACUGGCCGUAAAACUGUAGGGAUUGAGUACACUUGAAGCGGGCGGAAUGUGUCAUGUAGCGGUGAAAUGCUUAGAUAUGACACAGAACACCGAUUGCGAAGGCAGCUCGCUAAAUUGUAACUGACGCUGAGGCACGAAAGCGUGGGGAUCAAACAGG